GACUUCACAUGCACGCACCCACUAUGGGGUUCUCAAGCGGCCGGAAACGCCGUCCUCACCUGAAGGCUUGCCGCUAUCCCGCGUCGAGCAGGUGAAUUCCGAGCUCCGCGGAUACGGUAAAAUAG
rnacentral:misc_RNA from 1 species